AAGAAAAGAUGACAAGUACAGUAAGACCUGACAGAGUGUUGGCACCACCAGUAUCCAUGGCAACAGAUGAUUUACACACAUUCCCCGGAGACAAGUGUGUGUCACGCCUCUGUCCGUGUUCUGGAUCUCCACUAGCCUCACACUCCAACAUAUAAAAAUACUCCACAGAGUUUCAGAGUUUUAACAACACAACUGAGAUAGAAAACCACUUCAACUUACAAUAGUGUCUGCAGAAGUCUGCAAAGUGUCCUUGACGUGUUUCUAUGACUGUUGAAGAGUCUCAACCCCAUGAAAAGUCAACUCUCUACUCCUACACCAUCCAUUCUCACUAGUCAUGGGAAACUGAGGCUUUCUGAAGCCUUUAGGGCUUUCACCAAAUUGUGCUGAAAAACAGUUCAUUACUCUGAGCUUUUAACACAAUGCACAUUAGUGACAUCUUCUGGUCAGCAAUGAAAAGCAGCGAUGUUAAUAUAAAGUACAUGUUUUUCCACAAUAUCCAUCAAAUGGCCAUGGCACAGCAGUUAGUUAUGAGUCUUAGUAGCCUCCAAUCCAUUACCAUUACAGGGUUGCACCUUCCAUCAUGCUUCCCUUUUUUUGUUUUGAAUUCAUUUUUUUACUGUCAAAA